rnacentral:lncRNA from 1 species
AGUCAAUAAGUGUGUAUAUAAAGAAAGUAAGAAGUGGAAAACUUUCUGGAGAGUGCUGACAGAGCUGUUUGAACUACUGGGUGGCACCUCCACCGGUUUUUAAACUUUUUUUCCUGUCUUGAUUGUGAGCGAAAAAAGAGAAACCAAAAAAAAACCCUUCCAAGUUAAGAAAACGUAAGGGAUGACAAAGCGCUUCACUCACUGCUGGUGAAAUGUGCAGUGUGGUUGAAGAAAGCUGCACAGUUGAAGAACUAAUUCAGAGUCAGAUUUCUGGCGCUGUGGCGCUCAAUUUUGGUCUCCCAUGACACCUCUAACUGUUGAUUCAGUGGAGCCUGCUAACCUUCUCUCUCUUGCAGAGAGCACUUCAUAGACUCCAAAUAAACUGCAUUCUUCGCUGUGAUUGUUUAUUCAGCAGUGGGUUUGUUUUUGUACUGCCUUCUCUUCUCCAUUCGGCCUCUCUCAGGAUCAAGUGCUCCUUUCAGAAGCAGCCUGUCAGAGCCGGUUGCUGUGGAGACGUGGGGCCUGUGACCCUGCCUGUCUUGCCGUGUGGAGAGAGAGAGAAGCCUUCAGCAGGAACCUCCCGGCACUUCGCGAUUGAGAAAAUGCUGGAUGAAAAACGUGUGCAAGAGCAGUUCCUAACGAGAGGAGGCCACUUGGCCUCAGUCCCACGAUUACUGGAGGUGCAGGAGCUGAUUGAUCCCAGGGUCUUAUCCAGAAAGCAUUUGAAGGAAGCCAGGCUAUCGGCUUCAACCACGUGGCUGGGUGGGUUGUCAUUAUGGAAGGAACCAGAAUGUAUGCACUGUGAUUGUGGGUGAUAGAGAAGAGAGUGUAUUUCUUCAGUAACUCUCCCGUCUGGCUGAAGGACUGUGAGCUGGUGACAGUCCUGGACAUCUCUGCGAUCUCUGAGAUUUGACUCAGCAACGAAAAGGCAGCCCACAGCACACAGCGGCUUGUGUUGUUCGUGUGGCUCUGGUGGCUAACACGGGCGCAUAAAAGCACUAGAAAGGCACAAAAACAGCAGGACGCACUGCCCACCUAGCCCAUCGGCUAGUUAGUAAGAAGCUAUCUGAUCCUAUGAUCUCAUCCAGGUUGUUUCCUAAAAAAAGCCAGGUCAGCAGCUUCAACAGCACAGCUGGGCAGCUUGUUCCCCUCUCUUCUGCACCUGGACCUGGUGAGGGGGAUUCAUGAGAACCUGAAGUGAUCUUAGUUGAAAAGCCCGUCCAGCAGGAACACUGCAGCCCUGGGGUUCAGCUGCCCUGAAAAUUGAAGAGCUCUGCAGGCACCGCCCACAGACUCCUACAGCCAUGGCCAGGAGCUUUGUUUGCAGCCCACUGUGAUCUGGAUCUCUUUGUUUGAAGCACCCUGUUGUUCUGACAUGAGAAGAACAUGAGAAAGAUGACAACUGAGGGGAGGCCAUUCAGCCCAGCCACCUUGUUUGGUUGCUUGUGUUGGUUUGCUUCUGAAGCCCCACCGAGUCUCCUGGUCUUACGCGGAUCAGUCGCUUAGACAAGAGAAGUCGCCAUGAGUUCCAGAUCUCUGCCAGCGAGCUCUUCAAAGCUGCCCACGAGGCCUGCAGGGCUAUCGCUCUCCAGGACCCGAGCUGCACACCCUGCAGCUGCCUGAGCAGGGCUUUCGCAGAGAGUAAAGAGGAAAACAAGACUCAGGGUCAUCAAAGCCUGAUCCCUCCCAGAGGCACACGCAGGUACCAAGUGUCGUAAUCACCAGCGUAGGGGCGUGACUGGCCGGUCCAGUUGAUUGCGGGACCAGAAUGAAAGAGCGACGCGGAAUUGUGGGACACGGAGUGAGAAAGUGCUGGAGGGCCUGGAGGAGCGUGUGGUGGCCCCGGCCCCUCGCCUGCCGGGCCCCUUUGCUCGUGUGGGCAGCGCUGCGGUGCCAUGAGCUCAUGGCCUCACUGUCAGUGUGUUUACCCAGCGUGAUAAAAUCCCCUUUCUGGGCUUCUUAUGAAUAACACAGCCCGGCCCAAAGUAAGCACCAAUAAAAUCUAACGUCAGUUAAAAUUAUAACCCGUCGGGGCCUGCAGUUUCUGCUGUUUUUAUUUGUGCUAUAAUUGCCAGUCCUGCACACUUGGGGCCAGAUGAUGAAACUAGCGUCUAAUUACAGUGGCUUCUCAGGCAGCCCGUGGCGCGACUCUGAGCCAGGCUGGGGGCUGAAAUCCAGCUCUUUCCUGGUCACAGCGGCUCUAGAGCCGAGCAACUGGGCAGCAGGGCCUGUGUGAGACCCAGAGGUUUUCUAAUACAACCUCACUGCUCUUUCUCCCUUUACACCGGGAUCAGAGAAACUGUAGAAACCCCAGAACAUUGCUUUAAACCUCAAACAGAUCAAUCAAGGGGGCAUAAAAAUGGAUUAAGAAAUGGAU